rnacentral:rRNA from 1 species
AUUGAACGCUGGCGGCAGGCCUAACACAUGCAAGUCGAGCGGAUGAAGAGAGCUUGCUCUCUGAUUUAGCGGCGGACGGGUGAGUAAUGCCUAGGAAUCUGCCUGGUAGUGGGGGAUAACGUUCCGAAAGGAACGCUAAUACCGCAUACGUCCUACGGGAGAAAGCAGGGGACCUUCGGGCCUUGCGCUAUCAGAUGAGCCUAGGUCGGAUUAGCUAGUUGGUGAGGUAAUGGCUCACCAAGGCUACGAUCCGUAACUGGUCUGAGAGGAUGAGCAGGCACACUGGAACGGAGACACGGUCCAGACUCCGACGGGAGGCAGCAGUGGGGAAUAUUGGACAAUGGGCGAAAGCCUGAUCCAGCCAUGCCGCGUGUGUGAAGAAGGUCUGCGGAUUGUAAAGCACUUUAAGUUGGGAGGAAGGGCAGUAAGUUAAUACCUUGCUGUUUUGACGUUACCGACAGAAUAAGCACCGGCUAACUUCGUGCCAGCCGCCGCCGUAACAC